GCCGCCUCCGGGCAUCUCCGCCCCGCGCACCUGCGGGCUGCGUUCCGAAGCCUCUCGGCAGUGCUGACGUUUCUGGGGGAUUUGGGAUCGGGGCUUAAAUGAGCUGCGCUCAGUGGGUCCCAUCCAAUCCAAAAGCUGACAUCUGGGUCCCUUCCAAAUCAAAAAAUCCUAUUCUACAGUCUUAACAUCUCCACCAGUUCUCUGUGCUGUCCUCUCCGGACCCAGGCAAUGCACUCACCUCACAUCAACUGGGAUUUACAGGCGAGCUGCAGAGAGGUUGAGUGAUUAAAGACAGAGCAUCACCCACCCGCCGGCCCCACUGACACCACUGCAGCCUCAGUUCAUUAUCAUAGGAAAUAACAACGGCUCCGAGCACAGAAUGCCCCCUCCAAAGUUUACAGCUGGCUGCGGCUGCAGCCGACUAAAUGGACCAUGGAGACUUGGGGAAAAUCGUUCAAGGAAGGGGAAGAAAAUAAACCAGUUCCCUGCGUUGCUAU